GAUGAACGCUGGCGGCGUGCCUAAUACAUGCAAGUCGAGCGAACGGACGAGAAGCUUGCUUCUCUGAUGUUAGCGGCGGACGGGUGAGUAACACGUGGAUAACCUACCUAUAAGACUGGGAUAACUUCGGGAAACCGGAGCUAAUACCGGAUAAUAUUUUGAACCGCAUGGUUCAAAAGUGAAAGACGGUCUUGCUGUCACUUAUAGAUGGAUCCGCGCUGCAUUAGCUAGUUGGUAAGGUAACGGCUUACCAAGGCAACGAUGCAUAGCCGACCUGAGAGGGUGAUCGGCCACACUGGAACUGAGACACGGUCCAGACUCCUACGGGAGGCAGCAGUAGGGAAUCUUCCGCAAUGGGCGAAAGCCUGGCGGAGCAACGCCGCGUGAGUGAUGAAGGUCUUCGGAUCGUAAAACUCUGUUAUUAGGGAAGAACAAAUGUGUAAGUAACUAUGCACGUCUUGACGGUACCUAAUCAGAAAGCCACGGCUAACUACGUG
rnacentral:rRNA from 1 species